rnacentral:rRNA from 1 species
GACGAACGCUGGCGGCGUGCUUAACACAUGCAAGUCGAACGCUGAAGCUUGGUGCUUGCACUGGGUGGAUGAGUGGCGAACGGGUGAGUAAUACGUGAGUAACCUGCCCUUGACUCUGGGAUAAGCCUGGGAGACUGGGUCUAAUACUGGAUAUGACAUGCCACUGCAUGGUGGUGUGUGGAAAGGGUUUUACUGGUUUUGGAUGGGCUCACGGCCUAUCAGCUUGUUGGUGGGGUAAUGGCCUACCAAGGCGACGACGGGUAGCCGGCCUGAGAGGGUGACCGGCCACACUGGGACUGAGACACGGCCCAGACUCCUACGGGAGGCAGCAGUGGGGAAUAUUGCACAAUGGGCGGAAGCCUGAUGCAGCGACGCCGCGUGAGGGAUGACGGCCUUCGGGUUGUAAACCUCUUUCAGCACGGAAGAAGCGAGAGUGACGGUACGUGCAGAAGAAGCGCCGGCUAACUACGUG